rnacentral:rRNA from 1 species
GACGAACGCUGGCGGCGUGCCUAACACAUGCAAGUCGUACGGUAAGGCCCUUUCGGGGGUACACGAGUGGCGCACGGGUGCGUAACACGUGAGUAACCUGCCCACAACUUUGGGAUAACGCUAGGAAACUGGGGCUAAUACUGGAUAUGUGCUCCUGCUGCAUGGUGGGGGUUGGAAAGCUCCGGCGGUUGUGGAUGGACUCGCGGCCUAUCAGCUUGUUGGUGGGGUAGUGGCCUACCAAGGCGGCGAGGGGUAGCCGUCCUGAGAGGGUGACCGGCGACAGUGGGACUAAGAUACGGCACAGACUCCGACGGGGGGCAGCGGGGGGGAAUAUUGCACAAUGGGCGCAAGCCAGAUGCAGCAACGCCGCGGGCGGGAUGACGGCCUUCGGGUUGUAGACCGCUUUCAGCAGGAACGAAGCUUUUUAUGACGGUACCUGCAGAAGAAGCACCGGCUAACUACGUG